UACGACAUUUACGGCAUUUAAAACUUCUAGAAAUCAAAUUUUAUAAUUUUUCGACAUCAUUUACCUUACGAUCAAGAUGUCACAAAUUUGACAAUUUUUAACGGCCGAUAUGGAAUACUUGCUAGUUUAACAGUGUAAAAGAAUAGGAAUUUGUUGAAUUUUUAAUAGAAAAUUCUAUUCACUACCUAGAUAAAGAUCAAUAACUCCGAUCUUGAAUUGAAGGAUUCGAUCAUCCUUUUUUAGAACGUCGUUCGAUUUUGACCAUUCAUUUUAUGCCCACUUGCCGAACUUUAUUAUGAUUUUGAAAAUUUACAAAAUUUAUUUUCUAAAAGUUUCAAAUACUCUAGAUUAUAUUUAACAGUGUGGAUCGUCGAUUCGGAAGCUCCAUCAUCGAAAAUAACUUAUGAGUAUGAGGGCUCGAAUACUCCUAAUAAUAUAGUAGCCACAGCAUAUAUAUAUAUAUAUCUACUAUCCUAUUAAUAGGAUAGGAGCACUUGUUCUAUCAAAUUGUUCUUGAUGAUCGAGAUUCCGAAUCGAUGAUUGGAGCCAUUGAAGUUGAUCUAGAGCAUUUGAAAUAUCUAGAAACUAAAUUUCAUAAAUUUUGAUAAUAGUGUACAUGGUGAUCAAAUUGUCGUAAUAUCGACAAUUUUUGACGGCCUAUAUGAGCCGUUUGCUUGUUUAACGGUGUAGAGCAAUCCAAAUUGCUUGAAAUUUUUAAUAGAAAAUUCUUUAUACUAUUUAGAUAAUGUUUGAUAACUCUAAUUACGAACUAAGAAAGUCUAACCUCUAUUUUAAGAAGGUUAUUCAUUUAUGACCGUUCAUUUUUCAACUCUUAAGAU
rnacentral:lncRNA from 1 species